rnacentral:rRNA from 1 species
GACGAACGCUGGCGGCGUGCCUAAUACAUGCAAGUUGAGCGCUGAAGGUUGGUACUUGUACCAACUGGAUGAGCAGCGCACGGGUGAGUAACGCGUGGGGAAUCUGCCUUUGAGCGGGGGACAACAUUUGGAAACGAAUGCUAAUACCGCAUAAAAACUUUAAACACAAGUUUUAAGUUUGAAAGAUGCAAUUGCAUCACUCAAAGAUGAUCCCGCGUUGUAUUAGCUAGUUGGUGAGGUAAAGGCUCACCAAGGCGAUGAUACAUAGCCGACCUGAGAGGGUGAUCGGCCACAUUGGGACGGAGACACGGCCCAAACUCCUACGGGAGGCAGCAGUAGGGAAUCUUCGGGAAGAGACGAAAGUCUGACCGAGCAACGCCGCGGGAGGGAAGAAGGUUGUCGGAUCGUAAAAAUCGGUUGGUAGAGAAGAACGUUGGUGAGAGUGGAAAGCUCAUCAAGUGACGGUAACUACCCAGAAAGGGACGGCUAACUACGUG